rnacentral:ncRNA from 1 species
CAAAGGUUUGGUCCUGACCUUACAAUCAACUUUUACUUAAUUUACACAUGCAAGUCUCCGCACACCCGUGAGAACGCCCUUAUCCCUUCUAUAGGAUAAGGAGCUGGUAUCAGGCACAGACACCUCGCCCAUAACACCUAGCUUCGCCACUCCCCCAAGGGUAUCCAGCAGUGAUAAAUAUUGUCCAUAAGCGCCAGCUUGACUCAGUUAAAGUAAACAGAGUUGGCCAACUCGGUGCCAGCCGCCGCGGCUACACCGUUGAACUCAAGUUGAUUACUUCGGCGUUAAGCGUGAUUAAGGUAACUAAAACAUUAAAAUUAAACCUAAACAAAGCUGUUAUAAGCUUGCUUACUGGAAACACAUAAACGAAAGUUAUUUUAAAUAAACCACCUGAACCCACGACAGCUAAGAAACAAACUAGGAUUAGAUACCCUACUAUGCUUAGCCAUAAAAUAUUAACCCACACCGAAACCGCCAGGGAAAUACGAGCCCAAGCUUAAAACCCAAAGGACUUGACGGUGUUCCACCCUUCUAGAGGAGCCUGUUCUAUAAUCGAUAAUCCCCGAUAAACCUCACCACCUCUCGAAUAAUCAGCCUGUAUACCUCCGUCGAAAGCCUACCAUGUGAACGUAACAAGUGGGCCCAAAGGUUUUAAACCAAAACGUCAGGUCAAGGUGCAGCCAAAGAGCUGGGAAGAAAUGGGCUACAAUCUCUAAAUUAGAGCACACGGAAAACUGCAUGCAAUACAGUAACUGAAGGCGGAUUUAGUAGUAAAAAGAAAAUAGAGAGUUCUUUUUAAUUAGGCACUGGGACGCGUACACACCGCCCGUCACCCUCUUCAAAUUUAAUUAAUAAUGUUAUUUAACUACACUUUAUUCAACAGAAGAGGCAAGUCGUAACAUGGUAAGCGUACUGGAAAGUGUGCUUGGUAUAACAAA